rnacentral:rRNA from 1 species
CACGUAGGGAGCAAGCGUUGUCCGGAUUUAUUGGGCGUAAAGAGCUCGUAGGCGGCUCAGUAAGUCAGGUGUGAAACCUCCAGGCUCAACCUGGAGACGCCACCUGAUACUGCUGUGGCUAGAGUCCGGUAGGGGAGCGGUGGAAUUCCUGGUGUAGCGGUGAAAUGCGCAGAUAUCAGGAGGAACACCAGCGGCGGCGAAGGCGGCGCUCUGGGCCGGAACUGACGCUGAGGAGCGAAAGCGUGGGUAGCAAACAGG